rnacentral:rRNA from 1 species
GCACCGCAUGGUGCAGGGGUAAAAACUCCGGUGGUAUGAGAUGGACCCGCGUCUGAUUAGCUAGUUGGUGGGGUAACGGCCUACCAAGGCGACGAUCAGUAGCCGACCUGAGAGGGUGACCGGCCACAUUGGGACUGAGACACGGCCCAAACUCCUACGGGAGGCAGCAGUGGGGAAUAUUGCACAAUGGGGGAAACCCUGAUGCAGCGACGCCGCGUGAGCGAAGAAGUAUUUCGGUAUGUAAAGCUCUAUCAGCAGGGAAGAAAAUGACGGUACCUGACUAAGAAGCCCCGGCUAACUACGUGCCAGCAGCCGCGGUAAUACGUAGGGGGCAAGCGUUAUCCGGAUUUACUGGGUGUAAAGGGAGCGUAGACGGCGAGGCAAGUCUGAUGUGAAAACCCGGGGCUCAACCCCGUGACUGCAUUGGAAACUGUUUUGCUUGAGUGCCGGAGAGGUAAGCGGAAUUCCUAGUGUAGCGGUGAAAUGCGUAGAUAUUAGGAGGAAC